rnacentral:rRNA from 1 species
GACGAACCGUGCGAACGUUGUUCGGAAUCACUGGGCUUAAAGGGCGCGUAGGCGGGCCGCCAAGUCCGGGGUGAAAUCCCCCGGCUCAACCGGGGAAUUGCCUGGGAUACUGGCGGUCUCGAGGGAGGUAGGGGUCGAUGGAACUUCCGGUGGAGCGGUGAAAUGCGUAGAUAUCGGAAGGAAGCGCCGGUGGCGAAAGCGAUCGACUGGACCUCUUCUGACGCUGAGGCGCGAAAGCCAGGGGAGCGAACGGG